UACGUAGGGGGCAAGCGUUGUCCGGAAUCAUUGGGCGUAAAGAGCGUGUAGGCGGUCCGGUCAGUCGGUUGUGAAAAUUGGAGGCUCAACCUCCAGACGUCGAUCGAAACCAUCUGGCUAGAGUCCGGAAGAGGAGAAUGGAAUUCCUGGUGUAGCGGUGAAAUGCGCAGAUAUCAGGAAGAACACCGAUGGCGAAGGCAGUUCUCUGGGACGGUACUGACGCUGAGACGCGAAAGCGUGGGGAGCGAACAGG
rnacentral:rRNA from 1 species